UGGGAAUUUGGACAAUGGGCGAAAGCCUGAUCCAGCAAUGCCGCGUGUGUGAAGAAGGCCUUCGGGUUGUAAAGCACUUUUGUCCGGAAAGAAAUCCUUGGCUCUAAUACAGUCGGGGGAUGACGGUACCGGAAGAAUAAGCACCGGCUAACUACGUGCCAGCAGCCGCGGUAAUACGUAGGGUGCAAGCGUUAAUCGGAAUUACUGGGCGUAAAGCGUGCGCAGGCGGUUUGCUAAGACCGAUGUGAAAUCCCCGGGCUCAACCUGGGAACUGCAUUGGUGACUGGCAGGCUAGAGUAUGGCAGAGGGGGGUAGAAUUCCACGUGUAGCAGUGAAAUGCGUAGAGAUGUGGAGGAAUACCGAUGGCGAAGGCAGCCCCCUGGGCCAAUACUGACGCUCAUGCACGAAAGCGUGGGGAGCAAACAGGAUUAGAUACCCUGGUAGUCCACGCCCUAAACGAUGUCAACUAGUUGUUGGGAUUCAUUCCUUAGUAACGUAGCUAACGCGUGAAGUUGACCGCCUGGGGAGUACGGUCGCAAGAUUAAAACUCAAAUGAAUUGACGGGGUCAUAGCUGUUUCCU
rnacentral:rRNA from 1 species